rnacentral:rRNA from 1 species
GACGCACGCUGGCGGCGUGCCUAAUACAUGCAAGUCGAACGCAGUGGGGACGGGUGAGUAACACGUGGGUAACCUCCCAUCAGAGGGGAUAACACUUGGAAACAGGUGCUAAACCGAUACUGAUGGAUGGACCCGCGGUGCAUUCGCUAGUUGGUGAGGUAACGGCUCACCAAGGCCACGAUGCAUAGCUGCACUGAGAGGGUGAGCGGCCACACUGGGACUGAGACACGGCCCAGACUCCUACGGGAGGCAGCAGUAGGGAAUCUUCGGCAAUGGGCGAAAGCCUGAUGCAGCCAUGCCGCGUGUGUGAAGAAGGCCUUCGGGUUGUAAAGCACUUUCAGCGGGGAGGCGUUACCCGCAGAAGAAGCACCGGCUAACUCCGUGCCAGCAGCCGCGGUAAUUC